GAAAGGGGACAACGACAUAGACAACCAUCCGUCAAGUUCAAGGACUAUGUGAUGCAUACCGCUCACUGCAUGAAAGACCCCUUUGCAUUUCUUCCUUCUCCGUCAAAGACCUCAGUAACAACAAAAAUUGAGCCCACAUGUUACUCAGAAGCAGUAAAAGAUGCAAGGUGGAGAGAAGCUAUGCAAAAGGAGAUCGAGGCGUUGGAGAAUAAUGAUACAUGGAUGUUGGUAACAUUGCCACAAGAAAAAAAAAAAAGCAAUCGGGUGCAAAUGGGUGUACAAAAUAAAGUUUAAUUCCGAUGGGACUGUGGAGAGACAUAAAGCCCGCUUGGUAAUAUUGGGGAACCGACAAGUAGAAGGAGUUGAUUGCAACGAGACUUUCACUCCUGUUGCUAAGAUGGUGACUGUACGAACUCUCUUGGCAGUGGCAGUAGUGCAAGGGUGGGAACUACAUCAAAUGGAUGUACACAAUGCAUUCUUACACAGUGACUUAAAAGAGGAGGUGUAUAUGAAAUUGCCCCCAGGUUUCACAGCAUCCCAAGACAAAGUGUGUAAGCUUAACAAAUCCCUCUAUGGAUUGAGACAGAUGACUUGGUUAUUGCAGGAAAUGACUCAAAGGCAAUAACAAAGUUCAAG